AUCCGCGGCCCGGCUCAAAAAGGCGCGGAACGGCCUCAGCUCCGGUACCGUCCGGACGCCAUUUUGUCUCCAGCCUCGGAAGUGACGUUGGGGGGAGGCCAGCGGGCAGUGCCCCCCGUAGCGGGACCCCCUCCGGAGCGGGGCCGCCCCCGCUGCCCCCCGGCUCCCCGCUUCGUCCCCAUGUUUACCAGAGAGCGCCUCGGCUCGUCCCGUCUGCCGCAGCCUGCCGUCCUCCUCGCCGCGGCCUCCGGCAUCCGCCCUCAUCCCCAGACAAUGAGCUGUGGAGGAGAGCGGGUUCUCUUGCCCUAUUGUGGGGUUUUCUGUCCUUUGUGAUGAAGAAAGAACUCGUCAAAAGCUGAAGCUCUAAACCGCAUGGAAACAAGGGGGACAGAAGAAAUA